ACUUUCUAAUUCAAAGGGGCAGUCUGGCAAAUUGGUACCUGAUGUGGAAGUGUGCACAGAGCAGAGAAACGGAGUCCGGUGAGUUAUUUGAUCAAUCACUAAAACUUUGAUGAUACAUCAGCUUGGAAGACCUGCAAAAAAUCCAACCCACUCUCCCUUUUAGAGAGCAGCUGGUCUUACUAAUUAAAAUGGAAAAACUCCAUCCAUCUUCAUUUGCAGACAAGUCACCCAGAGAGAGACAGAACUCUGUUGUAGUUUCACAGGACAACUGAAAAGGACAGAGAAGAAUUGGAAAUGAUCCGUUAUUUUAAUUUUGACAACAGAUACAGAGAAAGUUCUUAUUUGUAAUUAGAUGUGAGAGGUUAUCAAAGCUAAAAGCAAGUAGCAUAUCAAUUUUGUUUCCUCUUUUUUUUUCAUCUACGUGUAAUGAAUAAUAUAUCCAACUAUGGAGUCAAUGACUUACUUGCAGGAAUGGAAUUAACUAUCCCUGCAUAUUCUUGCCAUUCUGUUUCACUCUGAAAAAAUAAAGAUAUUCUCAGGCAUGUAUGAUGCAGAUUUUAAAAGCCAUUGUUUAUUGAAGUUUUUUCCAGAAGUUCUCCAUUUUUUUUUUCUGUAGUUUCUUGUGAUAAUAAUAAACUCUCUGUAAAUAAACUUUCUGUAAAUUUUUCUGCUUCUCUUCCACCAAUAAUCUUUUAAAUUGUUUUCUCCAUCUAUGAAACCAAAGAAACAUGGAGUACUAAGCAUACUGCCUGACUAGACUGAGCAUGGUACUGGGACUCAGAGGAAUAGCAUCUACUCAUAAAACAGUUAAGAUGAAAAUUAUCUACAGCACUUAUUUGUAUAAUGUUGCCUGCAAAGAGCAGAGAAGUGUAAGAGAGGGGCCCCCUGGUAGUACUCUGGAGAUAGCAAUACACUGAUAC